AGGCACGGUUACCCAUCAUCACUGUACAAUAUAUACCACUCUCACACUCUUCCUCUUCCUCUCCCAGAUCCCCUUCUAACUUCUUCACCUUCUUCAUCUUUUCCUUUAUAAUCAUUUUAUUUUUAUUUUUCUCAAACCACUGUCAGACCUUCCAACAAAACAACACCAACAACAAUCUUUAUCCUCCAUUAAUCGCUUUGCAGAAUCUGAAAAACAUUUUUCUUUCAAUUGGUUUCUGGGAAGAUCCCGCUGAUCCGAUCCGUUGCAACCGUGUGACGACAUCGUUUUGGUUUUCGGACUCGCUAUUUUCUGAAACCUCGUACUGGGUUGUAUUGUGAGAGUGAGAUCUAGUGUGGGAAACACACCAAAAAAAGAAUACAUCGUCGGAAUCGUUGAUGUUACAAAUGGAGACACUUGUUGUUAUGGCGCAUCACAGGAACCAAUGCUACCCCCGGUCGGAACCCCAAGGCCACGCUGAGUUUGGUUCCUCUUCACCUUCGAGAGACUUUAGGGGCAUAAAUUGCAGAACUUUCCAAACGGGGUGUGGUAUUCUACCAACCCCACUCAAUUCUCAGUCUUCACCGUUAACUAAACUCCCCAAAACGCCGAUAACUCCUUCAAACACUAACAAAACCCGUUCAAGAAUCACUCCCAAUAGCGCCCCAGUUCCCAUCGAUCACAGAAAGGGGAAAAGUUUCGGCGAGCAUGUCUCUGAUGGGGGCAUUUUGCUCUCUGAGCUUUGGGCUGGGCCUACAUAUUCGAAUUCUCCACCACCCAGUUCCUUGCCUAUUCCGAAAUUUUCUGUAAGGCCGAAGAGGAGUGUGUCCCUCGAUCUCCCUGGUUCUUGUCCUGAAAUUGAAUUGCAGUUACAUGCUUGUUCUGCCCCUUCCUCCCCUCGUGGGGAACAUUCUCCAUGUGCCAGAGACCUCUUUGAUUCGCCGACGAAGGUGUUGCGUCGCAUCCUCAAUCUUAGCUUGGAUGAUGAAUGAGGCUGGAGGAGGAGCAGACUCCUGUACAUAUUAAGUGCUUUUGGUUAAUGAAGUUGGGUUAGUGUAAGAUUAGGUGUGUAUAAAGUGACCAAAUAAAAGAUUGUAGUUUUAGUUUGUGUAGCUUUCAGUACAGUGGUGGUGUGCCUUUGACUGUGGUGAAUGAUGAUGGCUGUGGUGGGUUCAUGAUUGGAAACGUUAGCAGGGUUUGUUUUGUGACAUUGAUGGGAGCUGCCAGAGAAAUGAUUGUGAGAAGCUGAAUGACGUGGUAAAGGGUUGGAGUGGCAUGGAAUAGAAAUGGGUGGUAAUGAAGAAAGAUAUUAGUUUAAUAUAUUCAAGAGGAAUACAGAGUUCAUGGUGUGGUGUAGUUCAUAGUAUAAACUCCUAACAGAAAGAGUAGUUUUUACCUUCGCAUAAUCUGAUAAAGAAUAUAGGUCUCCUGUUUUAGUACAUAAUGUAGAUUGUGGAAUCCUUUCACUUGCAAUAGCCUAUAGAGCUUAACCCUCUUAGUCCUCUUCCCCCCUUUAAAUUUUCUUCUAUUAUAAUAGUCUUUCUAUCCUUAUAUUCUGGUCUUGUAGGACGAUCCACAUUUUACUAGUUUGUAGUUACUACUUUACUUACUGGUCCUUCUCUCUUUAGCUCUCUCUUGUUUCUCUCUGUAUGUAAAGUUUCCAUUUCCUAGUGACCCUCUGAGAGGGCAUAAUUUGUCCCUUCAUCUUUUCCGUUUUUUGCAAAGAAAAGUUGGAAGGGCUUCGGUUAUAUAAUCUUAAGCUACUGUUUGCUAUAGUCUUUUAGGGUUGGUCUGUGUCACUCAACCUGUUAUCAAACCCCUAAUGUUUUCCAUCAUAGUCUUUGGUUAAUGCUUCUUUCCAUAGUCUCACCAGGCAUAUCCUUGAUGGAGAGUGUUGACCGUACUACGCCAGAAUUUUAGGCAGGCGAAACUGUGCCGAGGCUGUUUUGUUCAAAAGAUGUGGUCAUGAUCUUCUAGGUCGCUAGUGUUAGUUUGCAAGAUUUUUCUUAGAAUCCCUUCGUGGUUCGUAACUUAUGUGUCUUUCUGAGUUUGUGUAACUUGUGGAACAACAUGUGAUCUGCUGAAAUAAAUUAGUUUACUAUUAGCUAUGUUACAUGUACUAUGGUUUAUCUGGAGUAGGUUUGAAGUUAUAUGUUUCUGUUCAGUAAUUUAUAUACUGUUUUCUUAACGAGACAUGGAUUGGGUAC